UACGUAGGGGGCGAGCGUUGUCCGGAGUUACUGGGCGUAAAGGGCGCGUAGGCGGCGAGGUAAGUCGGGUGUGAAAUCUCAGAGCUCAACUCUGAAACUGCACUCGAUACUGCUUUGCUAGAGGACUGGAGAGGAGAUUGGAAUUCACGGUGUAGCAGUGAAAUGCGUAGAGAUCGUGAGGAAGACCAGUGGCGAAGGCGGAUCUCUGGACAGUUCCUGACGCUGAGGCGCGAAGGCCAGGGGAGCAAACGGG
rnacentral:rRNA from 1 species